UGAAAUUGCUUCACAAGAUUC
rnacentral:piRNA from 1 species